UGUGGUGUUUGUUACUUUCCUCAUCUCUGAGUGCCAUCUACUUUGAGCAACUCCUUAAACAGACAAAUUUAAUUUUGCAAGCUCUAAUAACAUGCAGGGAGAAGUUACAAGUCUAAACUCUGAAUAAAUUGAGAAAUAAAGCUGACAUUUCAUUUAAAAAACUUGAAAACUCAGGCUAUUCCUUUUAUUUUCUGGGACAAGUUAGACUGAGAGACAUGACUAGUUUAUUUCUAAUUAGAUUUGUAAAUACCGAGUCUUAAAUCCGAAAGAUUCACUAAUUUAUUCAGGGUGGUCCCAUUGGAUGCACACAUGUCAUACAGCAGGAUCCAUACUUUCUUUGGGCAAAUUGGCUCCGAGAGGAGGACGUACAGCACUGAGCAAAAACAACCAGUUAGUCUUCCCAAAUAUCAUAUCCAGUGUAGCCAACGCUGAGAUUAGACACUUAUAAUAAUGAAAAUUUAUAUAUAGCAGGGGCAUGAUUGUUUUUUCUCCUGACUUUAGACUACUAGCUAUCAAAUGAAAAUAGAUAAAAUAUUUCCCUUCAGAAGGGCAAGGCAGGUUCAAUAGAAGGUGAAGUGCAACAGUACAGUGUAGUAGCCCCACCUGAGGAAGCUAUGAGGUGCACGAUGAUACAUCUUUUGUCACCAAUACGCCGUCCUCUGAUGCAAACUGCCUCUUUCAUGUUUCUGGAAUCGGCACCAACAAAACAAGAACUCUUUUGAAACUGCAGUCUUGGUAUUAGCUGUUCCUGCCAAAGUUAAGACUUAGAAUGAUGCCCAUCAAUAUUUUACUUGGAACAGGCAACAAUCAGUCGGUGAUGUCAAACAUGGUAGGAUCUGGAUUGAUUCCAAGUGUGAAGGGAGACCUUCAGAACUCUAUGCAGCCCGCCAUGGCUCUGCAGUCAGCUCUCAACUGCUGACUACAGAUUUAACGUGGCUGCACUCUUGAGAUCCUAGAUAUGGCCUAUGGAGACAAAAGAGAAGAGAGAGGCAUGUGAGGAACAUCCCUACUCCUUGAAUCAAGAGUGGGAUAAAAAAAACUUAAUAGCCCAAUUGGAGGAAAAUGAAGAGGAAGAGGAAAAGGGAGAAACAAAGGAAAGAAGCAAGGAAGAGAAAAGGGAAUCAACAAGUGGAAGAAAAAAACCAGGGAAGAAUGUAUAUAUGGCUGAAGAAAGGAGAAGGAAGACAGAGCCUAGCAUACUCACCUGUUUCUGAGCAGGGUUCUCAUAAUGAAGCUAAAAUUCUUUCACAAAGCUCACAGUAUGCUUCACUGCCUGUCAGGGCUAGGGCCUAACUAGCCCUAGCCUCAGUGAACCACAGCUUUCUGAUCUCCCACUUUGGGUGUUGGUUCACUUUCAUCUUUGUAGGUAAAUAAGAUGUUGGAUCUGAUGGGCUCUUGUGUAUGUUUUUGUGGGAUUAAUCCUGCAUUACUAUGAAGGCUGAUUUGAUGCUGCCCAGGUAAUCCCCCAGGUCUCAAGAUUCAAUCUUUCUUUCAUGAGAUCAAACCACCCUUGGAAGCUGUGCGAUUUUAACUACAGGUGUAUGCAUGUGUACAGCCAUAGAUCACUCCCCCACUCCUCCUGCCCCCCUUUUCCAAAUUCUCAUGAAUCAAGUGAGUCUUACCUUCUGGCUUAGUGCUCAGGCUUAGCUGCCGCACUAACUGCCCUCCGUGUAAUUUGGCAGAUCGCACUGCCUUCCCAGAUGCCUUUCUCAGUUACACAUGAUAUUAUCUAAUUGUAUUAUAACAUAUUGCCCCUUCACUUUGCAUCAUACCACAUGUCCACUUUCUACCAUAUUAAACUAUUUUACCAUAUGGUCUUUUGCCCACUUACUCAAGAAUUCCACUCAUCAUCCUGAUAGAUAUUUACAGUGAGGCCUAAGCAAACAGUAAUGUUUUAUUCCCUGGUUUUGCUAUGUCUGCUGAAGAAAGGAAGGCAAAAAAAUCUCUGCUCUUAUCAUCUCCAAACAGGUGGACUGACCAACAGACAGACAGGCAUACAUACGUGUGCACACACGCGCGCACACACACACACACACACACACACAGUGUACUCCAUCCAGUAAAAUCCUAUUCCAACUACAAAGUGAGGUACAAAUUUUGCCCUCUAAUUUGAUCAUUUACCUCCUGCUAUUUCCUAAACACC
ensembl:lincRNA